GUAGGUGGCAAGCGUUGUCCGGGAAUUAUUGGGGCGUAAAGCGCGCGCAGGCGGUUCUUUAAGUCCGAUGUGAAAGCCCACGGGCUCAACCGUGGAGGGUCAUUGGAAACUGGAGAACUUGAGUACAGAAGAGGAAAGCGGAAUUCCACGUGUAGCGGUGAAAUGCGUAGAGAUGUGGAGGAACACCAGUGGCGAAGGCGGCUUUCUGGUCUGUAACUGACGCUGAGGCGCGUAAGCGUGGGGAGCAAACAGGAUUAGAUACCCUGGUAGUCCACGCCGUAAACGAUGAGUGCUAAGUGUUAGGGGGUUUCCGCCCCUUAGUGCUGCAGCUAACGCAUUAAGCACUCCGCCUGGGGAGUACGGCCGCAAAGGCUGA
rnacentral:rRNA from 1 species